rnacentral:misc_RNA from 1 species
UGCAUUUGUUUUGAGCUCACCACAGGUGAUGUUCUUUUUGAUCCUCACAGUGGUGACGGUUAUGACAGAGAUGAGGAUCACUUGGCCCUCAUGAUGGAGCUUCUGGGGACGAUGCCACGCAAGAUUGCCUUAGGUGGACGCCAUUCAAGAGAUUUUUUUAACCGAAAUGGAGAACUAAGGCACAUCAGGCGCUUGCGGUUCUGGACUCUCAGUAAAGUGCUCAUGGAAAAGUAUGAUUUAUGCGAACAAGAUGCGAAUGAGAUGGCAGAUUUCCUUGUACCUAUCCUUGACUUUGUGCCUGAGAAAAGACCGACAGCAGCUCAAUGUCUUAGUCAUCCAUGGAUUACUGGAGGUCCUCGACAUCUUGGUUCUUCGACUAAUUCUCUAUCUGAAGCAACUGAAAACCAUGGUCCGAAGAACAAUAGAGAGAAGGAUGAAAGGGAGGCAAUGGAAGUUAGAGUGGGUAAUAUUGCAAUUGAUGGGGCUCCAGCCCCAGUCAAAGCUUCUCAAUCUUCAGAUCUUGCUAAGAAGACAUAGUUGAUUGGUCCAGUGCUGUGAGCAUUGGAAAAUGAAGGAAUGACUCUUUUGCUUCACUGUGGGUAGAAUCGUACAUCCCUACAUGAACUGUGAGCAGGCAAGUUUAAACAUGUACCGAAGCAGCACGUUGGUGUUGGUUUGGUGAGUGAAACAGAUUCUCUCAGUUGUAUAACUUUUGGUGGACAAUUUAUGAGCCACCCCUUCGAUUGGAUUCUUAUUAUUUUGGCUUUCCUUUGAUGAUGUACACGUACUCUUCAGUGAAAGAACAUUAUAGCCUUUGAUGUCAAAACUCAGUGACCG